UGGGGAAUCUUGCGCAAUGGGCGAAAGCCUGACGCAGCGACGCCGCGUGAGUGAUGAAGGCCUUCGGGUUGUAAAGCUCUGUGGGGAGAGACGAAUAAGUGCGGGCUAAUACUCCGCAUGAUGACGGUAUCUCCUUAGCAAGCACCGGCUAACUCUGUGCCAGCAGCCGCGGUAAGACAGAGGGUGCAAACGUUGUUCGGAAUUACUGGGCGUAAAGCGAGUGUAGGCGGUUUGGAAAGUCGGGUGUGAAAGCCCUGGGCUCAACCCAGGAAGUGCACUCGAUACUCUCAAGCUAGAGUAUCGGAGAGGUUGGUGGAAUUCUCGGUGUAGAGGUGAAAUUCGUAGAUAUCGAGAGGAACACCGGUGGCGAAGGCGGCCAACUGGACGAAUACUGACGCUGAGACUCGAAAGCGUGGGGAGCAAACAGGAUUAGAUACCCUGGUAGUCCACGCCGUAAACGAUGGGUGCUAGGUGUCGCGGGCUUUGACUCCUGCGGUGCCGUAGCUAACGCAUUAAGCACCCCGCCUGGGAAGUACGGCCGCAAGGCUA
rnacentral:rRNA from 1 species